rnacentral:sRNA from 1 species
AAAUAGUUUACUGACUGUGACAUCUGUCACCCCAUUGAUGGCCAGGGUUUAUUUGGCUGAUCUGGCUGGGUAGCCGGGUGUCCCCUUCCCCCCUCACCACUCGAUGUGUGUCCCUCCUAAAGCUGCAUGCUCUGUCGAAGAGGAGGGACUUUUCCGAAUAGAGACGAACUGGUCUUUGGUCAAGGGUAUACGAGUAGCUGCGCUCCCCUGCUAGAAAAGUNNNNNNNNNN